AGAAGAGAAGCGAUUUGUGCCAGCUUGGCUGUGGGCCCUCUUCACUAUUGAGCAGUAAGCUUACCAUUAAUGAAUGAAGAAGCAUUUAUUUGGCUCUCUGUGCCUGGCCUUUUCUACAGAAGGAGGCAUGCUGUCUAUGAAGACUCUGCAGGAUGGGUCCUGCGUGCACCAAUUAAUUUCUCCCAGUGCAGUCCUGCUCCAACAAAAUUCACUCUUGUGAGUCAGAGUUCACCUUUUAAAAUGGUGUCAACAAACAUUUAUUAAAUGAGGGCAUCUUGAACAAGCAGAAACACAAAUAGCUAAAAGUCAAUAUAAUGGAAUAUUAAUUAUACUCUAUCACAUUUUUAUGGAGAAUCCUGUUUUGUAAUUGUUGUACUAAAAUGGCCCCUGUGAAGACAACUGUACUUUUAG